rfam:Schistosoma mansoni strain Puerto Rico chromosome 1, complete genome
AGCUUUCUGAAUCCGUGCUGAGAUUUCGUCAGACACCAAUUCAUUAGAGCUGAUCAGACUUCCAAGAUAAGUGAAGUU